CACGUAGGGCGCAAGCGUUGUCCGGAAUUAUUGGGCGUAAAGAGCUCGUAGGCGGACUGUUGCGUCCGCUGUGAAAAGCUGGGGCUUAACCCUGGCCUUGCAGUGGAUACGGGCAGACUAGAGGUAGGUAGGGGAGAAUGGAAUUCCCGGUGUAGCGGUGAAAUGCGCAGAUAUCGGGAGGAACACCGGUGGCGAAAGCGUUCUGCUAGACCUGUACUGACACUGAGGGACGAAAGCUAGGGGAGCGAAUGGG
rnacentral:rRNA from 1 species